rnacentral:rRNA from 1 species
GUGGGGAAUCUUGCACAAUGGGGGAAACCCUGAUGCAGCGACGCCGCGUGAGCGAUGAAGCCCUUCGGGGUGUAAAGCUCUUUCGACAGGAACGAUAAUGACGGUACCUGGAGAAGAAGCUGCGGCUAACUACGUGCCAGCAGCCGCGGUAAUACGUAGGCAGCAAGCGUUGUUCGGAAUUACUGGGCGUAAAGCGUGCGUAGGCGGUGCCAUAAGUUUGGUGUGAAAUCUCCCGGCUUAACUGGGAGGGUGCGCCGAAAACUGUGGUGCUUGAGUGUGGGAGAGGUAAGCGGAAUUCCUGGUGUAGCGGUGAAAUGCGUAGAUAUCAGGAGGAACACCGGCGGUGUAGACGGCUUACUGGACCACGACUGACGCUGAUGCACGAAAGUGUGGGGAGCAAACAGGAUUAGAAACCCUAGUAGUCC